rnacentral:rRNA from 1 species
GACGAACGCUGGCGGCGUGCUUAACACAUGCAAGUCGAACGGAAAGGCCCUGCUUUUGUGGGUGGCUCGAGUGGCGAACGGGUGAGUAACACGUGGUUAACCUGCCCUUGACUUGGGGAUAACUUCAGGAAACUGGGGCUAAUACCGGAUAGGAGCUCCGGCUGCAUGGUGGGGGUUGGAAAGUUUCGGCGGUUGGGGAUGGACUCGCGGCUUAUCAGCUUGUUGGUGGGGUAGUGGCUUACCAAGGCUUUGACGGGUAGCCGGCCUGAGAGGGUGACCGGCCACAUUGGGACUGAGAUACGGCCCAGACUCCUACGGGAGGCAGCAGUGGGGAAUAUUGCACAAUGGGCGGAAGCCUGAUGCAGCAACGCCGCGUGCGGGAUGACGGCCUUCGGGUUGUAAACCGCUUUCGCCUGUGACGAAGCGUGAGUGACGGUAAUGGGUAAAGAAGCACCGGCUAACUACGUG